rnacentral:lncRNA from 1 species
CAGCAAGGCCAUUUUUAUACUUUCUGCAGAAAGGGUACACUCGCCAGCAGUUUUGCCACAAGAGUACACUGAACAAAAGAGACAGGGUCAUUUAUAACCUGAUGCAUCGACCUUACUGCUGUGUCUGGUUUCUAUUGGCUGGAACAGGACUUCGCAUUCUGUAUUUGUCUUGAUUGGCUAACACCUUAGAACUUUCUAAAAGAGGCAAAGGCAGAGGAGAACAAAGGAAGGAGGAAGUAACUUGUGGAAUGCUGAGAAAGAAAGCAAAGAGUAGAUGUGCUCCACCAAAAUGAAGGAAUAAACUAAGAACUCUGAGGAUGGCAUGGGAUCCAACACAGGAAAGAGAAGCCAUGAAGCAAAUCUACUGCAUGAGAUUGUGCACUUUGACCUCUGCUGAGCAGGUGAGAGCAGGGCUAAGACUCAGCUGCUCCCCAAGCCAAGAUACUCAUGGAACUAAGCCUGGGCACGAUUUCUCAUUGGCCUACAUAGAGAGGAUCCUUUUUGCAACUGGACUUAUCAGAGGACGUACCUUUUAUCUAGUUCACAGAAGAUGCUCUAUAUCCUAGUUGCACUUCUGAUUGUCUGCCUAAAUAAGUCUCUAUUUUAAUAUUUUGAUUAAUUUGCAUUUGGACAAAACUAUAAGACUAUGAGCAGUGCUCUAAUCUGUAAGAUCAUGACCUAUAUUUACAGAUUAAUGACAAAUGUCCAGUG